rnacentral:rRNA from 1 species
GUCUAUGGCCAUACCACCCUGAACACACCUGAUUUUGUCUCAUCUCAGAAGCUAAGCAGAGUUAGGCCUGAUUAGUACUUGGAAGGGGAAGCCCAGCAGACACCUGUGCCAUGCAGA